UUGCCGUAUGGGGAAAAGCAGAUGAGGUGGAGGCAAAUUACACAAACAAAACAAAAAACAGUAUCACCAGGAAUGGGAUGUUGCUGUGGAGAAGUACAAACGAACCUGGAUGAAGACUUCUAUGGAAGGCCAGAGAAAUGACAGAAGCGUAUGCUUGUAUGCUGAGGUGUGAUAAGAACAACAAGUAUUGUCAUCAAGGGGGGUUUUGAGCAAACAGGACAUUGCCUGGUAAAGAAAGCAUAUCUCUAUACUGUCUCCAUAAAGUGGAAGAAUGGCUGAUCUGCAGCUCCAUUCCAAGCUCCCUUCACAUGUCUACAAGAAAUCCCUCUAUUGAAGUGGAUCUGUUUAAGCUGGGUGGCUAAUGGUGGCUGUUGUGCUACCUGAAAGACUUAUCAGAGUACAGGAAACAAAGAAUCCCACUGAUCUGUUGGAAAUCUCUAUAGACUAUAAAGGCUAAAGGCUAUAUCUGUGGCUACCUGUCCUGUAUAUUCUACCUUGGAUCUCGGUUUCCACAGCUAUAUAAGAAUUUUAAAAGUCAACAGAAGGCACCUCUUACUUGUUAUUUGCCGUGGCAAUGACUGGGAACAGCACAUAUGGGCUGAGUCUACUUGUGAAACUACCUGGUCUAAAGGGGCCGAAGAACGUCUUCAUUCGCAAUCACUUGGCCUGGUUGAUUGGCAGCUUCGGGGUACUUUUCCUGGACUACUUUGUAUCUUUUUUUUUUUUUUUUUUUUUAGGGAAAAACACAUCCUAAUUUAUCAUUUGGAGCAGAAGUGACCCCACAGAUACUUUAAUUAGUUUAAGAUGUAACAAUUUGCAAGUCAAAUGAUGUAAGCCCACUGGACCAUGGUACGUUCUUCUCAGUUCUGAAGUAAUGAGGCAUCACAAUGUGUCUGAUUUUAUUCGUUCCAGCAAUGAAUACGACGACUUCUACAAUAAAAGGGAGGGUGUGCACAUCUUCAUGUGGCUUCAGAUUAAGCGUUUAAACUUUGGCUGGAGGGUGUGAGAGUUGUUAUUCUAUUAACUACCAGGAGCAGUGGGCUCAUUUGUUGCCAAGAGAUUGAUACAAGAAACCAGGUAGAAAAUCUAGCAAAAACAAUCAUUAAAUAAACAAAAACAAACCUAAAGUAAUUACAAAAUCUGUUAAUGCAUGCUUUUAAUAAAUUGUGUGACAUGAAACAACUGUCUAAUACUGCACUGGUUGUGAAGGGGUGAGGAACUGUUUCCUUAUGAACUUGUAGUUGGGUUAUUACAGCAUGAGGCAGUCUCAACUCCCAAAAACAAAGGAAACAAGGGAGCAUUUGUUUCAUCUUUGGAUCAUAGUAAAUGCCUGUUUAUUAUGUGACCAUACACUCUAUUCCUUUACAAGACAACGCUACAGAUCACUGCACAGUUCAUCCUGUAUCGGAAGCACAAAUACACAGGACCAAGCUUUGUGACCUUGAGUAAAAUCCCAGAGGUGGAACCACUCCUCUGUGACGAAAAGGACACCUGAAAAAUGUUGCACAAAGUGUGUGAACUUCAGUUGUGCAUUUCAAAGUGUUUAACUGAAAAAAAAAAAAAGCACUCAAUAUUAUGACAUAUACUGUAUUUAGUAAUAAGCUGUAAAUAUAGGUGGGUUGAUAUGGAAUGAAGGUUUCCGCUAAUAGCCUGGUUUCUGAAGGACCAGUUGAAUGUUUACAGUAAGCCAAUUAUUUUAUUUUUUUUACUUGAAAUAUCAUACAGCUAGCUUAAUUUUAUUGCAUGUACAUGUGUUGUGUGUAGCAAACGGUUAUAGUAAUUGGGGUUCUAGUUUCCAUUUCUCUUAGCAUGGUUUUCCAUCUCCAAUUUAGUAAAGCUUAGCUAGUAGUUUGAAUACAAUUAAGCUAAUGAGACCUGGAUGCAUCUCUUGAGAGAAAUAAGCAGGGUGCCGAGUAGACUUAGUUUAUUGCCAUAAUAAUUAAUUGGUUGAGUGAAAACUAAACUACCCUUAUUUUGUAUGAUAUGCAGUUAAUGUUGUGGCUAUGUGGAAGUUAGUUACACAUUUAAGUACUGGUUCAAAGUAAAAAGUCAAAUAAGAAAGUCCAGUGCUUGACAUAACAUUUUAAUAAAAGAAAUUCAGGCAUAAAAAAGUACUUUUAAUGUGAUGAAUCUGUGUUUAAAUUUAUAAGAUUAGUAUUAUGUUAAAGUGUUUGCUUAUUUAUGGUGCCUUGCUCUAUUUUAUUUUUUAUACAGUUUUAUACACAUUUUUAUGCAAAAUGUUCUACCCCGCUUGUGGUUCUUAUAGUGAAGUAAGCCUCAUUUGAGCAGAAAAUGGGCUUUAAUUCCAUUGAACCGAUUUGUACAUUCCUUAAAACAACUUUUUCAAUCAUUGAUUCAAAUAAAGUUGAUUAUUCAUAAUAAAAUGUCAUUGUUUAUGUUUGCAGUGACAUUGCCAUUGACUUUAUUUUUAUUUUACCACAAUGCUACAAUAUGUGUUGUUGUUAUUGUCAUUAAUUAUUUUAGCAGGUGCUCUUACCCAAGGUGACUUACAGUUGUGUACAAAAAAUACAUAAAGAAUUACAGUACAGUUAAGAGCAAGA